rnacentral:rRNA from 1 species
AUUGAACGCUGGCGGCAGGCCUAACACAUGCAAGUCGAGCGCGCGGCGGAAGGGUGAGUAAUGUAUGGGGACUGCCCGAUAGAGGGGGAUACCUCCAGGAAACGGUGGCUAAUACCGCAUACGGUCGGAUAACCCAUAUGGGAUUAGCUAGUAGGUAAGGUAAUGGCUUACCUAGGAGACGAUCCCUAGCUGGUCUGAGAGGAUAGUCAGCCACACUGGGACUGAGACACGGCCCAGACUCCUACGGAGGCAGCAGUGGGGAAUAUUGCACAAUGGGCGCAAGCCUGAUGCAGCCAUGCCGCGUGUAUGAAGAAGGCCCUAGGGUUGUAAAGUACUUUCAGUCGGGAGGCGUUACCGACAGAAGAAGCACCGGCUAACUCCGUGCCAGCAGCCGCGGUAAUUC